AUCCAGAUGACGAGUCCAAAACAUGACAAAAUGCGCAUCCUGGAU
rnacentral:hammerhead_ribozyme from 1 species